rnacentral:rRNA from 1 species
GGAUCGGGGUCAGUUCUCUUCUCUUCUAAGGAGUGACGUCGUCGCCAGUCAGCGGGUGAGGUGAGGCGAGCCUGUUUUCCUUAGAACAAGAGCCCUUUUCCUCCCUUCCAACGCACUCUCGUUCGUUACCGGAAGCGACUGCGUCCUCGUGCCUCCGAGGACGCGCCGCGUCCGCCGCCACAACGAGCUCCUUAGCGGCGGCUGCGGCAGCCGUACUCGAAGCCGGAGCUGCCGAACACCGUCGAGUAGCGGCCGGACAAGCGCUCGCACCGAGUGGACGAGCAGGACGGCAAGCUCCACGAGCCCGUGACCGACGUCCGCCGGCAGCGGCGGCACCGGGUGGACCAGCAGGACGGCAAGCUCCGCGAUACCGUGAACGACGUCAGGCGGCGGCGGCCGCACUCGAAGACGAAGCUGUCGGAGCAGCGGCGCGAACCCUCGCGCCGGGUGCGAGACCACCACGGCAAGCUCCGCGAGACCGUGGACGACGUCAGGCGGCAGCGACCGCACUCGAAGACGAAGCUGUUGGAGCAGCGGCGCGAGCCCUCGCGCCGGGUGCGAGACCGCCACGGCAAGCUUUGCGAGACCGUCACCUAGGUCCGGCGUGGGCGCUCGUAGUCAAAGCCGAAGGUGCCAGACCCCGUCGAGUAUGUGCCGACGAAGCUGUCGGAGCAGCGCCGCGAGCCCUCGCGCCGGGUGCGUGACCGCCACGGCAAACUUCGCCAGACCGUCACCGACGUCCGGCGGCGGCGCCCGCAGUCAAGGCCGAAGCUGCAGAAGACCCUCGUGUACGUCCCGUAGAAGCGGCCGCAAGGGCGGCGCGACCGGUCGCGACGGGUGUCGGAGCAGGAGGGUAAUCUCAGAAAGACCGCCACCCACGUGUUGAGGUAGCGGCCGUAGUCGGAGCUAGACCUGCCGAAGACCGGCGAGCAGGUCGCGAAGCAGCUGUGCCGGCGCUCGUUCCGGGUGCUCGAGCAGGGCCGGAACCUCCGCAAGACCGCCACCGAGUUCCUGCGGCGGCAGCAGCGCGAGGGAAUGCACGACCGGUAGCGGCGCCAGCAAACGCAACGCCGGCACCGGACCAUGACGACCGUCUAGGACACGUGGCGGCGGCACGUCCACCGCUUCCGCGAGCAGGUCCAGGAGAGGAGGACGACCCCGACCAACAUACCGCAACGGUACGACCAGCCCGGCACGACGCCGGUGCAAUGGUACCGGCGGGGCCCGCAACGGCCGCCCGACUACAGUGCACAACGCAAGCUCUGCCGGGGCGCGGACAAGAAGGUCUAGAGGGCGAGGCGACCGCCGGGGCACCGGUGACGACAGAAGAGGUGCGGGUGGUAGCGGAGCCGCCAGCGACGCGGCCAGCGGCGGGAAAAGCCGCCGACUAAUUCGGCUGCAAAAGUUACAUUAAACACGAGAUGGUCGCGCGCAUGAGAUAGAACGAACCGAAGGUUUCCGUUACAUACUAAACGUUUCUGUUAAACGCGCCUAGUAGCUAGUUGAGGUAGCACUACUAUUAGAAAACAAUAUAAGGUCUAAAAGAAGAGCGUUACCUAGUAGUGUUUGCUGUUGUUGUAACCCAUUUCGAUUGUUACAUCACGCUAGGUGUAGACUAGAUUUGUUCAGUAGGAAGAAAAUCUUUUCGUACUUAGCAUGAUGAUGAAAAAACCUUGAUACAUGCUCUGGAAGAACCGGCUUAGUAUAGCUGCUGGAUAAUGAUAAUCGUGCUACCUUAUCGAAACGAAUAAAAAUCCUACUACUGAAUGAGUGAGACUUCCACCAAAGAAAGUAGACGUUACUCUUUACUAUGGGAGUUACAUAUGACAAGGAAAAAAAGGUAAUUUUUGACAGGC